rnacentral:rRNA from 1 species
AGCGAACGCUGGCGGCAGGCCUAACACAUGCAAGUCGAACGGAUCCUUCGGGAUUAGUGGCGGACGGGUGAGUAACACGUGGGAACGUGCCCUUUGGUUCGGAACAACUCAGGGAAACUUGAGCUAAUACCGGAUGUGCCCUUCGGGGGAAAGAUUUAUCGCCAUUGGAGCGGCCCGCGUCUGAUUAGCUAGUUGGUGAGGUAACGGCCCACCAAGGCGACGAUCAGUAGCUGGUCUGAGAGGAUGAUCAGCCACACUGGGACUGAGACACGGCCCAGACUCCUAGGGGAGGCAGCAGUGGGGAAUCUUGCGCAAUGGGCGAAAGCCUGACGCAGCCAUGCCGCGUGAAUGAUGAAGGUCUUAGGAUUGUAAAAUUCUUUCAGCGGGGACGAUAAUGACGGUACCCGCAGAAGAAGCUCCGGCUAACUUCGUG